rnacentral:tRNA from 1 species
UACAGAGUAGCUCAAGUAGUAGAGCGCUUGCCUUGCAAGCAAGAGGUUGAAGGUGAAAGGCCUUCCUCUGCGG